ensembl:lncRNA
UGGGCCUGAUGUGAUGGGAGCUCAUUUGAAGCCUCAGUCUGGAAGCUGGUGCAGGUUGCUUAGGUGCAGGCUGAGCUCCUGAGGAGCUGUGGGGAUGUAUGCAAAGAUGGUUUUCAGCCUAAAGAAUUAGAGCAAUUUGUGAUGUGACUACUGAGUAGCAUUCCAGGGACAACGUGUCUCCUUCAACACUAAUUAAAGGUAAUUCAAAUGUGUGGCUUCUAACUACUUGCAGAGGACAGCUUAGUAUUGCUAACACCAUGUGGUGUUCGAAGCUGAGAGGUUCCUUGAGUCCCAGGACAGCAUGAACCAGCAUCCCUUCACAGUGCCUCUGAUGAUGGUACCUGUGCUGAUGUGCUGCAUGGCCUCUGUGAGCUGUGGUGCUCAGUGUCCCUGAGGGGCCGAACGGUGCAUUGCAAGAUAGGAUUCCUUCUGUGCUCCUGUGACUGUGAGACUCCAGUAAAUGAAGAGCAGAGAAGGAUGACAAGGAUGAUGCAUGUGUGGCUUUUAUCAGGUACUGCAUAUCGGACUUGCUGCAGCACACCAGGGAGGAAUGCUUGCAGUUAGCAGCAAAUAAAACAGCCACCAGCCAGACUUUUUGCCAUGUUCCACAGGACGUGAAGUGCUGGUGGAUAAUUCUGCAUGGCUGAUGAAAAUGUGUGGCCAAAGUAUCUCAGGCUUAUAUGGAGAGGUGACUAAGGAGGAAUGGCCAGCCAACCUCAAACCUCAGAUAGCUGCAAAAAACCACCAGCCCUGGAGCGUAUCAUCCUCCCAACAGACACUGUGUUUCUGCUGUAGGAGUACAGUGAACACACGGGUGCUGCAACCUGGAAAUCCAUCAGCAGUGAGGCUGUCUGAUUUGCCCCAGAGUUACCAAACUGGAAAUCUCAUCAGCAGGAAGACGGUCUGCAGUCACCGUGGGGACUUGUGGCAAGGUGUUGGUGUGUCUGAGAAGGUGACUUUACUGGAAACACUGAACAGACAGAAGUAGAAACUAGUCAUGUCAGAGACCACUCGGCAGCUGGAUGGGAUUCCUUGCGUGAUUCAUCCACAAAAAUGACUGCUUUGCCUGACGUCGUAUUUCCCCCCCUUUAUUUAGAAUGCAGCUUUGGCUGCCGUGGCUGUGGUCCAUUGUCUGGAUUGCUUUUUGAUGGCUGGGUGGUACGGAUAGCAUCCUUGUAUUCUCAUGAUUUCUAAACCACUGCUCGGACCAGGGGGGAAAAAGACAACCAAAUGAAGGGCUUCGUCACUCCAGAAGCCCUCAGUGGAAUGAACCUGUAAUCUUAGGAAAUCAAAGGGGAAUCUGGGGAAUGUGUCAUUUUUAGUGUCUUUAAGGCAGCAAAAUUACAAGCGAAAAUAGCUGCCUGUAAAUUGUGUUUAUGGAGUUAAUUGACAGGAAUAGUAGAGAAGGGAAAGUCUGGAUGAAAGCCUCUGGGUCUGAACUGCUCUGUUUCAGGAGGAGGUCUAAAGGAAGGACUGUCACCCGAUGCAACCAAAAUGUACCGGGAUGCAUGGAUCAGUUACUGUGCCUCAGCAGAGGAAUUCAUAGUGAUGCUGCCCUGUGGCAAUGCUGUGACCACCCAUUCUUGUGAAACUCACUCAAAUGUUUGCAGGAUUACUGAGCUGCACAAACCAGCAGUGG